rnacentral:rRNA from 1 species
UGGGGAAUAUUGGACAAUGGGGGCAACCCUGAUCCAGCCAUGCCGCGUGUGUGAAGAAGGCCUUUUGGUUGUAAAGCACUUUAAGCAGUGAAGAAGACUCCAUGGUUAAUACCCAUGGACGAUGACAUUAGCUGCAGAAUAAGCACCGGCUAACUCUGUUCCAGCAGCCGCGGUAAUACAGAGGGUGCAAGCGUUAAUCGGAAUUACUGGGCGUAAAGCGAGCGUAGGUGGCUUGAUAAGUCAGAUGUGAAAGCCCCGGGCUUAACCUGGGAACGGCAUCUGAUACUGUUAGGCUAGAGUAGGUGAGAGGAAGGUAGAAUUCCAGGUGUAGCGGUGAAAUGCGUAGAGAUCUGGAGGAAUACCGAUGGCGAAGGCAGCCUUCUGGCAUCAUACUGACACUGAAGUUCGAAAGCGUGGGUAGCAAACA